rnacentral:rRNA from 1 species
GACAGAGGGGGCAAGCGUUGCUCGGAAUUACUGGGCGUAAAGGGCGCGUAGGCGGGAUGGCAAGUCGGUCGUGAAAUCCUUCGGCUCAACCGAAGAACGUCGAUCGAUACUGCUGUUCUUGAGGGUUGCAGAGGAGACUGGAAUUCCCGGUGUAGCGGUGAAAUGUGUAGAGAUCGGGAGGAACACCGGUGGCGAAGGCGGGUCUCUGGGACGGUACUGACGCUGAGACGCGAAAGCGUGGGGAGCGAACAGG